GGACUGGUAGCUGAGUGGCUUAGCGGUGGAGUGAAAUCCCGCAGACGGUGGUUCGAUUCCAUCUCAGUCCA
rnacentral:tRNA from 2 species